AAAGGAUGGGGUCGACUAAGGGGAUGGGCAAUGGUGCCUUGCGAUCUAACGAGCCGAGAGAGCCCUCGCGACAGAAUGCUAAGGCCAAAACGACGAUUACAUAGGCAAUAACGCACCAGGGAGCUUAACGGGUCGGAAAAAGUGGGCACGCAGGCAUCUGUUAUAAAUUAGUUUUUGAUUUAUGAUAUAAUUCACUGGCUGACCGUGCAAGAGGCUCAAUUUUGUUACGCCGUCUCUCGCAGGUUUAGGAGAGGUUUAAAAGCGGUUUUGAUUCAUGCAGACACAAACUCCGGCACUCAUGUGGGGUGUAGCCUGCCUGCAGUCGGCCGUAAGAGCAUUGGA
rnacentral:lncRNA from 1 species